rnacentral:sRNA from 1 species
CCGGACGCCGAACCGGGUCCGGACCGGACAUCGAGGGCGCCGGUUCACGCGCCGGUGCCGCUCAUGUCCAGAUCGCUUCACAGGAGGAUUUGGAGAUGAGGA